rnacentral:tRNA from 1 species
GGCCGGUUGGCCCAAUGGCAAGGCGUCUGACUACGACUCGUGUCUCUCACAGCUGGGAGAUGUAGAGGAUGUGCAAUCAGGAGAUUCUGGGUUCGACCCCCAGGCUGGUCA